UACGAAGGGGGCUAGCGUUGUUCGGAAUUACUGGGCGUAAAGCGCGCGCAGGCGGCUAUCCAAGUCAGUGGUGAAAGCCCGGAGCUCAACUCCGGAACUGCCAUUGAAACUGUUUAGCUUGAGGAUGAGAGAGGUGAGUGGAAUUCCCAGUGUAGAGGUGAAAUUCGUAGAUAUUGGGAAGAACACCGGUGGCGAAGGCGGCGACCUGGUCCUUGACUGACGCUGAGGCGCGAAAGCGUGGGGAGCAAACAGG
rnacentral:rRNA from 1 species